CCCUUAGUGCUGCAGCUAACGCAUUAAGCACUCCGCCUGGGGAGUACGGCCGCAAGGCUGAAACUCAAAGGAAUUGACGGGGGCCCGCACAAGCGGUGGAGCAUGUGKUUUAAUUCGAAGCAACGCGAAGAACCUUACCAGGUCUUGACAUCCCGYUGACCGCCUUARAGAUAAGGCUUUCCCUUCGGGGACAGCGGUGACAGGUGGKGCAUGGUUGUCGUCAGCUCGUGUCGUGAGAUGUUGGGUUAAGUCCCGCAACGAGCGCAACCCUUGAUCUUAGUUGCCAGCAUUCAGUUGGGCACUCUAAGGUGACUGCCGGUGACAAACCGGAGGAAGGUGGGGAUGACGUCAAAUCAUCAUGCCCCUUAUGACCUGGGCUACACACGUGCUACAAUGGACGGUACAAAGGGCAGCCAACCCGCGAGGGGGAGCCAAUCCCAGAAAACCGUUCUCAGUUCGGAUUGCAGGCUGMAACUCGYCUGCAUGAAGCCGGAAUCGCUAGUAAUCGUGGAUCAGCAUGYCACGGUGAAUACGUUCCCGGGCCUUGUACACACCGCCCGUCACACCACGAGAGUUUGUAACACCCGAAGUCGGUGAGGUAACCCUUG
rnacentral:rRNA from 1 species